UACGUAGGAGGCUAGCGUUGUCCGGAAUCAUUGGGCGUAAAGCGCGUGUAGGCGGUCCGGUAAGUCCGCUGUGAAAGUCCAGGGCUCAACCCUGGGAUGCCGGUGGAUACUGUCGGGCUCGAGUCCGGAAGAGGAGUGUGGAAUUCCUGGUGUAGCGGUGAAAUGCGCAGAUAUCAGGAGGAACACCAAUGGCGAGGGCAGCACUCUGGGACGUGACUGACGCUGAGACGCGAAAGCGUGGGGAGCAAACAGG
rnacentral:rRNA from 1 species